rnacentral:lncRNA from 1 species
AUCAGCAUCAGAAGUGCUUUUCAUACAGUUCUUAUUCAUUUCAGAAUCUCAGAAAGAUUCCUAACAACUUUCUUUCUUUCGCAGGGCCUCUUCAUCUUCCUGAUAUAUGGAGUGUACAACACUGAGGUUCGAAACACAGUCAACAGAAUCAAAGAAAGAAGAAAAGCCUUAAAUUUCUCCGUAAGUUCUUGCAUGUUUGCAUGUUUUCUCGACUACUGGAGGCCUCUACUCUUUAUAUAGUGCAAAUUUCAUAACGCAGUGCAUGUUUUGCCCCUGGUCCCGUUUCACACACCCACUCAGGCCACCUCAAUCCAGCCAAUGUCAAGCAGCAGCCCUGGGUUACAUGUUUCUAAUCCUGUGGAAGCUCGUCCCUUCACAUUAAACUGUCAGGCCAGUAUUUAUAAGCGAGGCUGCUGUUGACGGCAAUGCCGGCUGUUUGCUUUCUCUGUUCUCAGUCCGGAUUGAAUUUCACCUUCCCGGGGCCAAGACUCAAGUGUUUUGUAUGAAGUGUUUAGUACUGAGUCAUGACAUUUUAACCAUCCACCCCCUCCUUCGUUAUCCACAGGUUCGAAACACAGUCAACAGAAUCAAAGAAAGAAGAAAAGCCUUAAAUUUCUCCAACUGUGCCAGUUCCAGGCCCUCCAGUUCAGUGGGCAGUUCUCGGCCGUGCACCUCUCCAGUACCAGGUGUGUUGGACGGGCAAACAGUCACCUACUCCAGCAGCUCAUCGACCUACAGCGACAACAUCACCCAGAGUUACGACAAAACAAAGCAUCUGUCCCUCUCCUGUGUCCACGACAACUUAAAUGAAGACCUGCGAUGUCCUGACACUGGUGUCCACCUCUCUGGACAGGAGAACUUGAGAAAACUUAAAGACAGACUUCCAAACGAAUGCAGUCUGAAUGUACCCUUGGAGGCCGAACUGACAUCCCAAUAUUCACCUCCUCGGCAGAACAGCGACUUGUGUCUUCACUGA